GAUGAACGCUGGCGGCGUGCCUAAUACAUGCAAGUCGAGCGAACAGACAGGGAGCUUGCUCCUUUGACGUUAGCGGCGGACGGGUGAGUAACACGUGGGUAACCUACCUAUAAGACUGGGAUAACUUCGGGAAACCGGAGCUAAUACCGGAUAAUAUUUCGAACCGCAUGGUUCGAUAGUGAAAGAUGGUUUUGCUAUCACUUAUAGAUGGACCCGCGCCGUAUUAGCUAGUUGGUAAGGUAACGGCUUACCAAGGCGACGAUACGUAGCCGACCUGAGAGGGUGAUCGGCCACACUGGAACUGAGACACGGUCCAGACUCCUACGGGAGGCAGCAGUAGGGAAUCUUCCGCAAUGGGCGAAAGCCUGACGGAGCAACGCCGCGUGAGUGAUGAAGGUCUUCGGAUCGUAAAACUCUGUUAUUAGGGAAGAACAUACGUGUAAGUAACUAUGCUCGUCUUGACGGUACCUAAUCAGAAAGCCACGGCUAACUACGUGCCAGCAGCCGCGGUAAUACGUAGGUGGCAAGCGUUAUCCGGAAUUAUUGGGCGUAAAGCGCGCGUAGGCGGUUUUUUAAGUCUGAUGUGAAAGCCCACGGCUCAACCGUGGAGGGUCAUUGGAAACUGGAAAACUUGAGUGCAGAAGAGGAAAGUGGAAUUCCAUGUGUAGCGGUGAAAUGCGCAGAGAUAUGGAGGAACACCAGUGGCGAAGGCGACUUUCUGGUCUGUAACUGACGCUGAUGUGCGAAAGCGUGGGGAUCAAACAGGAUUAGAUACCCUGGUAGUCCACGCCGUAAACGAUGAGUGCUAAGUGUUAGGGGGUUUCCGCCCCUUAGUGCUGCAGCUAACGCAUUAAGCACUCCGCCUGGGGAGUACGACCGCAAGGUUGAAACUCAAAGGAAUUGACGGGGACCCGCACAAGCGGUGGAGCAUGUGGUUUAAUUCGAAGCAACGCGAAGAACCUUACCAAAUCUUGACAUCCUUUGACAACUCUAGAGAUAGAGCUUUCCCCUUCGGGGGACAAAGUGACAGGUGGUGCAUGGUUGUCGUCAGCUCGUGUCGUGAGAUGUUGGGUUAAGUCCCGCAACGAGCGCAACCCUUAAGCUUAGUUGCCAUCAUUAAGUUGGGCACUCUAAGUUGACUGCCGGUGACAAACCGGAGGAAGGUGGGGAUGACGUCAAAUCAUCAUGCCCCUUAUGAUUUGGGCUACACACGUGCUACAAUGGACAAUACAAAGGGCAGCGAAACCGCGAGGUCAAGCAAAUCCCAUAAAGUUGUUCUCAGUUCGGAUUGUAGUCUGCAACUCGACUACAUGAAGCUGGAAUCGCUAGUAAUCGUAGAUCAGCAUGCUACGGUGAAUACGUUCCCGGGUCU
rnacentral:rRNA from 1 species